rnacentral:tRNA from 1 species
UAAUAUGAAGGAAAAUUCCAUUUUAAUUUCGACUUAAAAAUUUGAUUAUUUUUAAUAAUCCAUAUUAA